AUUCUGCGUGCAAUAAUAUUCUUUUUUAUUCUUACUCGCUCCUAGAAUAUGGAAAGGCACAAUGUAGAACCAGAACCUACCAAAAGCUGCCAUAGAGAAGAAGCACCAUCACUGGCAGCAACACCGUAACCAUAUGCUAGCGUGUGCCGUGAACCGCCCUGGCUUCAAGGACUGGGAGUUAGGCGAAUCAACGUCACCCAUACAAACUUCGAUGCCACCACCACCUCCAUAACCCGACCCAUACGACCUUCACUCAAACCACCGCGUGACCUUCAGAUCUGUCUUUCCACGAUGGCUCCCUCGCUGACUCGGACACCACGGCCAUGUCCUUGAACACGCCAAUGUUGAACUCCGAUAGUGUGUCGCCGCUGGUGCUAGGCGAACCAAUGGACGGAGGCACAGGUUCAAGUUUGGGUUGGGUUGCGGUUCGAUGCCUCUAUUUGUCCCAAGCCUAUGCGUGGGCAUCUUGCGGGCCUUUGCAAGUUACACAUUGGUUGAGCUUUGUGUCAGGUGGCAUAGUGUUAUCCUUAAUUAUUCUUGUGGCCUCACACUCUAGAUCCAGCACUAUUGCGGCCUGGGCGAUUGGACCGUAAAGUUGAGUUUGGCUUUCCUGACUUAGAGAGUAGGAUGCAGAUAUUCAAGAUACACACAAGAACCAUGAACUGCGAAAGGGAUAUUCGAUUUGAACUUCUGGCUCGGCUUUGCCCAAAUUCCACUGUACCAACAUUUUUUUGAAACUGGAAAAUUUAUAAUUUAUCUUGUACUUUUGAUCAUCAAUCUAUUAAGGAUUUCAACAUUCUGCUAGUAUACUUAUUGGUCAAACUUGUUUAUGGUUAAGGGAUUAUUUUUCUAAUUAAUAUAGGCGCACCUGUGCACUUUUCUUUUGUGGCUUGUGCCAAACUACAGCCUUGGUCAUUUUUGUACCUUCAUCACUAUAACUUUAUGAAUUUAUAUCUAUAUAACAUUAUUGUCUUGGCUAA